ensembl:lncRNA
GUUUGCAUGGCCACAGUCACGGUCAACAGGAGGGGACUGAACACACACCCUUGUGGGGCUCCAGUGUUGAAGAUCAGCGAAGUGGAGAUGUUUCCUACCUUCACCACCUGGGGGCAGCCCGUCAGGAAGUCCAGGACCCAGUUGCACAGGUGGGGUUCAGACCCAGGGCCUCCAGCUUAAUGAUGAGCUUGGAGGGUACUAUGGUUUUGAAUGCUGAGCUGUAGUCAAUGAAAUGCAUUCUUACAUUUUAUUUAACUAGGAAAGUCGGUUAACAAAUUCUUAUUUACAAUUACAGCCUAGGAACAGUGGGUUAACUGCCUUGUUCAGGGGGCAAAAGGACAGAUUUGUACCUUUUAGGUUACUGGCCCAACGCUCUAACCACUAGGCUACCGCCGCAAACAGGUAUUCAUCUAGUCCACAUGGGAUAGGGCCGUGUGAUGGCGAUUGAAGUGGUGAUAUGACCCUUGACUCAAAGCACUUCAUGAUGACAGAAGUGAAUGCUAUGGGGCGAUAGUCAUUUAUUUAUCCAUCAGUUAUUUUACCAGGUAAAUUGACUGAGAACACAUUCUCAUUUGCAGCAAAGACCUGGGGAAUAGUUACAGGGGAGAGGAGGGGGAUGAAUGAGCCAAUUGUAAACUGGGGAUUAUUAGGUGACCAUGAUGGUUUGAGGGCCAGAUUGGGAAUUUAGCCAGGACACUGAGGUUAACACCCCUACUCUCACAAUAAGUGCCAUGGGACCUUUAGUGACCUCAGAGAGUCAGGACACCCGUUUAACAUCCCAUCUGAAAGACUGCACCCUACACAGGGCAGUGUCCCCAAUCACUAACCUGGGGCAUUGGGAUAUUUUUUAGACCAGAGGAAUGAGUGCUUCCUACUGGCCCUCCAACACCACUUCCAGCAGCAUCUGGUCUCCCAUCCAGGAACUGACCAGGACCAACCCUGCUUAGCUUCAGAAGCAAGCCAGCAGUGGUAUGCUCAGUUACCUUAGCUUUCUUGGGAACAGGAACAAUGCCCUCUUGAAGCAUGUGGGGACAGGAGACUGGGAUAGGGAUUGAUUGAAUAUGUCUGUAAACACCAUAAACUACAAUUUAUAUUCCCAGUCACCUUGGUUAAAUGCGGUGGUUCUUUCAGUUUUGCGCAAAAUGCUGCCAUCUGUUUCUGGUUAGGGUAGGUUUUAAUAGUCACAGCAGGUAAACAUAGGUAACAGUAGGUAAACAUAGGUAGCAGUAGGUAAACAUAGGUAGUAGUAGUACAACAUCUCCUAUAUACUUCCUGAUGAACUCACCCUAUCAGUGUAUUCGUCUGUGUUAUUCUCGGAGGCUACCCAGAACACAUCUCAGUCCGCGUGAUCAAAACAAUCUGUGUUAUUCUCGGAGGCAGAACAUAUCUCAG